rnacentral:rRNA from 1 species
CUACGGGAGGCAGCAGUGGGGAAUAUUGGUCAAUGGUCGGAAGACUGAACCAGCCAUGCCGCGUGCAGGAAGAAGGCCCUCUGGGUUGUAAACUGCUUUUGUACAGGACUAAAAUGCGACUGCGGUCGAGCUUGAAUGUACUGUAAGAAUAAGGAUCGGCUAACUCCGUGCCAGCAGCCGCGGUAAUACGGAGGAUCCAAGCGUUGUCCGGAUUUAUUGGGUUUAAAGGGUACGUAGGCGGUCUAUUAAGUCAGAGGUGAAAGCCGGCAGCUCAACUGUCGAACUGCCUUUGAUACUGGCAGACUUGAGUAUUGAUGAGGUAAGCGGAAUUGGUAGUGUAGCGGUGAAAUGCAUAGAUACUACCAGGAACACCGAUUGCGAAGGCAGCUUACUGGGCAAUAACUGACGCUGAGGUACGAAAGUGCGGGGAUCAAACAGGAUUAGAUACCCGGGUAGUCCU